ACUGUUUCCCGCAAAGUUUCCCGGCUCCGAGCAAAAAAUUCCAAUAUGGCCGCAGGUCUCAGUGUUUUCGGUUUUUAUUUUACACUCCGAAUAACGAUACAGUAACUCUAACCUCCUUCGUUGUUACCACAUUCGAAGAUCGUAUCCGCAAAAAUCAACGAAUUUCUGAUUACGUUUGGGUAUUAUUUAGAAAACUCAGCAAUUAUCAAUCAUGGCGGACAAUAGAAAAAUUAAACUCGUCGACAGGCUUCAUCGAGGAUUCGUCAAUUGUUGCGCCUCAACGUAAAGCGUUCGAGGCAAGAAUCGAACAAGAAUUGCUGAUGGAAGGCAGUAGCUUCAAAUCCUCCCUCGACGAAGAGUUGAAAGCGUGAAAUAUUUCGUUUCUCUUCGUCCUCGAAGAUGCUUCAAAGAAAGCAAAAUUAUGUGGUUUUAGAAGAUAAAAGGAGAUUCGUUUUGUAAAAAAACCUCAAAAAUAGUCUUAUGCUUGUACAUAACUAUUAUGCUCUUUAUCGAAUAAUAGUCAUUCGACGCAGGUUUACAUUUAUAAAAAUUCAACACUUUUUAAGUUAAGCCCGUUACUCUCUAGCUCUGGAUACUAAUCAUUUCUUUAUUCAAUACCCCUCUAUGACUGUAAUUUAUCUAUUAAUUACUUCUUCGUUGUGAGUCCAGAUUUUGAGAGUUAUUAAAAUAAUUAAAUUACAAAA